GACGGAGGGUGCAAACGUUGUUCGGUGUCACUGGGCUUAAAGGGUGCGUAGGCGGCUGGGCAAGUGUGGGGUGAAAUCCCUCGCCUUAAUUGAGGAAUUGCCUCAUAUACUACCCGGCUUGAGGACCAAAGAGGAGAGCGGAACGUCGCAAGUAGGGGUGAAAUCCGUAGAUAUGCGACGGAAGACCGGUGGCGAAGGCGGCUCUCUGGGUGGUUUCUGACGCUGAGGCACGAAAGCGUGGGGAG
rnacentral:rRNA from 1 species